rnacentral:rRNA from 1 species
GAUGAACGCUGGCGGCGUGCCUAAUACAUGCAAGUCGAGCGAACAGACGAGGAGCUUGCUCCUCUGACGUUAGCGGCGGACGGGUGAGUAACACGUGGAUAACCUACCUAUAAGACUGGGAUAACUUCGGGAAACCGGAGCUAAUACCGGAUAAUAUAUUGAACCGCAUGGUUCAAUAGUGAAAGACGGUUUUGCUGUCACUUAUAGAUGGAUCCGCGCCGCAUUAGCUAGUUGGUAAGGUAACGGCUUACCAAGGCAACGAUGCGUAGCCGACCUGAGAGGGUGAUCGGCCACACUGGAACUGAGACACGGUCCAGACUCCUACGGGAGGCAGCAGUAGGGAAUCUUCCGCAAUGGGCGAAAGCCUGACGGAGCAACGCCGCGUGAGUGAUGAAGGUCUUCGGAUCGUAAAACUCUGUUAUUAGGGAAGAACAAAUGUGUAAGUAACUAUGCACGUCUUGACGGUACGUAAUCAGAAAGCCACGGCUAACUACGUG